rnacentral:rRNA from 1 species
AACGAACGCUGGCGGCAUGCCUAACACAUGCAAGUCGAACGAGACCUUCGGGUCUAGUGGCGCACGGGUGCGUAACGCGUGGGAAUCUGCCCUUGGGUUCGGAACAACAGUUGGAAACGACUGCUAAUACCGGAUGAUGACUUCGGUCCAAAGAUUUAUCGCCCAGGGAUGAGCCCGCGUAGGAUUAGCUUGUUGGUGAGGUAAAAGCUCACCAAGGCGACGAUCCUUAGCUGGUCUGAGAGGAUGAUCAGCCACACUGGGACUGAGACACGGCCCAGACUCCUACAGGAGGCAGCAGUGGGGAAUAUUGGACGAUGGGCGAAAGCCUGAUCCAGCAAUGCCGCGUGAGUGAUGAAGGCCUUAGGGUUGUAAAGCUCUUUUACCCGGGAUGAUAAUGACAGUACCGGGAGAAUAAGCCCCGGCUAACUCCGUGCCAGCAGCCGCCGUAAUAC